CCUGCAGUGCAUUGUGCAUUUUCCACUAUGUUUGACCGUGACGCAGCGCUUCCUCAGCCUUUCUUUAUUGCCGCUGCUGCGCCUGCGCUCUCGCCCCGUCGCCAUGUCCGUCCGUCCUCGUUGAUUCGCGUCCGUCUUUAUUCAUUGAUUGAUUCGCGCCCAUCCUUUACUACGUUUGUUUCUCUUUUCCAACGGCAGAGUGAGCGGCGGGCAGGCACGUAGUAGUACGAGCAUUUCUGAUGAACCUGCGGGAAAGAGGAUUGUGAUUCCGAGGCGUUUUUCUCUCGUUUGCCUUUCGCCGUUUCAUCUUUCUACUUUCCUCAGCUGCGAUACGUGUGUUGCAGGCUGCCCCGGUGAGUUUACUCAGGCCUGCGACUCCGCGCGAUUCCUCGAGAAAACGCCAAGGUGCUUCACGGGGUCUCUGGCAGAGAGAGAUACAUUUUGCAUCGAAACAGAAAUUUCAAGAUGGGAGUCCAUGCCACACUGUAAGCUGUGAUUUCUUUUUGACAAAAUCUAUCUCGGCACACCCUGACGCUGGUUUUUCGAAAUCUCGCUCCUGAAGGGUGGGCGGCCUAUUUUUCUGGCUAGGUUGCUCAACUCUAGCAUACAAGUCAUGCACAAAUGUGUAUUUACAUAAAAAAUAAAUAAAGAUUAACUUGCUGUACUCCCUCCAUAUACAAAUCCAAGUCACUGACUGUAAUCUCUCUUUUUUUAUGCAAAUCCAAGUCACUUAUUUUUCAGACGGAACAUGUAUAUGAAGAUAUAUUUUAAAAUAUUUUAUUUCUAAAAAUCAUGAAAAAUGCCAGACUGAUGAGUAUUUUUUUCCCAGCUUGCCAUUAUGUAAUGAAGUGCGUGCUAGGAAACUAACUCAAUCAACCACAUGUCGUAGAUUUUACUUCUGGAGUAGCGGCCCUUAAGGGGGAAAAGGUACAUAUGGGAAUUCUACGAAGAACUAACAAGACAGAAAGCCAAAGCAAACGACCGGAUGACUCAAGAGUGUUGAUGGUGUGAGACGGCUUGGGAGUGGUACUGUUUUAUUGUCAUUAGUUAGAUCAUCUUCUUUCACUUGUCUAGCUUGCAUGAUAAUAUGCUACAUUAUUUAUGCAAUGAUGUUCUGGAUUUUAAUAUUUAUCGAAAAUGCCUAAUUGUUCAACAAUUAUGACAUCUUAUAUCUAGAAAUAGAUGGAGUAUUUGUUUUUGGAAGAUUACAGUUCAUUUGAACAACUAAGUGUUUGCUCAUGUAGUUAUCCACGUAUGAAAAAUAGUUUCUUUCAUCCCGAAACACAAAUGCCAAGAAUUAAGUAUGUAGCUUGUCUAUUGAGUUGGGACAGGGGGAGGGUUUAUGGGCACGAGUGGUCGGAUCCUCAUCUAGUCACCAGAAAGAAAGACAAGUGGCGAAAGAAUUUUGUUCCCGCUUUCUGUCAUCGAAACUCCUUUUCUUCAGCCUUAUCUCCAAACAAACACCGAAUAAAAAUAAAUAAAUAAAAAGGCCACGGCGUCACAGCAAAUGCCUUCCAGGUUGCCAUCGGCCAGCAGCACAAAGCCGCGUCGCAUCAAAAGGCAGCGACCAUAAUAUCCGCCAUUUUCGCCAGAGUGGAAAAACACGAGACAUCAAAAAAAAAAAAGGGUCACGAUAUUCCCGAUAAGCGAACGCGGAGGGAACCCAAGGGAUGGAUGAUGGAGCGCGGGUGC
rnacentral:lncRNA from 1 species